CGGCACGUAGCGCAGCCUGGUAGCGCACCGUCAUGGGGAGUCGGGGGUCGGAGGUUCAAAUCCUCUCGUGCCGACCA
rnacentral:tRNA from 1 species